GCUCCUUUCUUUUAUAACAGGUGAUGGGAAGCAAAACAAGGAUUUAUCUCCAUUGUGCUGGAGUUUGUUAUGGGUGGAGAGCUCCAUGAUAUCAUACCAUUAUGCUAAUGGAGAACCCAAAAGCAGGAAGGGGUCUGAGGUUUUCCAAGUGGCUCCAUCUCUCAAUGUGGCUGAGCUGAAGAAGGCAAAGGGAGAUACUCAAAAUGUACAAAUUUUACUCAAACAGUUCAAAUAAUCAAUAAUUCAGUAUACAAAUCUUACUCUGUCCAUGGAGCUGAAGGACGUCGUUCGGGAGCAUGAUGAUUAAGUCCAAGACAGAAGUUCCUCACCAUGAAACAGUUGUAGAAUUUUAAGCUUACAGAACUCAUUGUGGUGGUGGUGGGGAGGGCGGCUGAGAUGAGGGAUAUGUUGUUAGUUUUCCCUGUACAUAGCUCUUGUUUUCAGCGCCUAAGACCUGAUAAUGAUGAUCUGGAAUGAAUGAAGAGGUACAUGAAACAGAUGAGAAGGCUGUUUCCUGUAGUGAAUACUGGAAUAUGGUGCUGAUAUAUUCAUAGGUUCAGAAUAUAAUGUAUGUUAUUAGUCGGUCAAACUUCGGGAAGACAAUGUUGCCUCCAACAAUACAACACCUUGCACUGGAUGUCUGAAUCCAUUUGUUUCA